rnacentral:rRNA from 1 species
UGCAAGUCGAACGAUGAUGCCCAGCUUGCUGGGUGGAUUAGUGGCGAACGGGUGAGUAACACGUGAGUAACCUGCCCCUGACUCUGGGAUAAGCGUUGGAAACGACGUCUAAUACUGGAUAUGAUCACUGGCCGCAUGGUCUGGUGGUGGAAAGAUUUUUUGGUUGGGGAUGGACUCGCGGCCUAUCAGCUUGUUGGUGAGGUAAUGGCUCACCAAGGCGACGACGGGUAGCCGGCCUGAGAGGGUGACCGGCCACACUGGGACUGAGACACGGCCCAGACUCCUACGGGAGGCAGCAGUGGGGAAUAUUGCACAAUGGGCGAAAGCCUGAUGCAGCAACGCCGCGUGAGGGAUGACGGCCUUCGGGUUGUAAACCUCUUUUAGUAGGGAAGAAGCGAAAGUGACGGUACCUGCAGAAAAAGCACCGGCUAACUACGUGCCAGCAGCCGCGGUAAUACGUAGGGUGCAAGCGUUGUCCGGAAUUAUUGGGCGUAAAGAGCUCGUAGGCGGUUUGUCGCGUCUGCUGUGAAAUCCCGAGGCUCAACCUCGGGCUUGCAGUGGGUACGGGCAGACUAGAGUGCGGUAGGGGAGAUUGGAAUUCCUGGUGUAGCGGUGGAAUGCGCAGAUAUCAGGAGGAACACCGAUGGCGAAGGCAGAUCUCUGGGCCGUAACUGACGCUGAGGAGCGAAAGCAUGGGGGAGCGAACAGGAUUAGAUACCCUGGUAGUCCAUGCCGUAAACGUUGGGCGCUAGAUGUAGGGACCUUUCCACGGUUUCUGUGUCGUAGCUAACGCAUUAAGCGCCCCGCCUGGGGAGUACGGCCGCAAGGCUAAAACUCAAAGGAAUUGACGGGGGCCCGCACAAGCGGCGGAGCAUGCGGAUUAAUUCGAUGCAACGCGAAGAACCCUUACCAAGGCUUGACAUACACCGGAAACGGCCAGAGAUGGUCGCCCCCUUGUGGUCGGUGUACAGGUGGUGCAUGGUUGUCGUCAGCUCGUGUCGUGAGAUGUUGGGUUAAGUCCCGCAACGAGCGCAACCCUCGUUCUAUGUUGCCAGCGGGUUAUGCCGGGGACUCAUAGGAGACUGCCGGGGUCAACUCGGAGGAAGGUGGGGAUGACGUCAAAUCAUCAUGCCCCUUAUGUCUUGGGCUUCACGCAUGCUACAAUGGCCGGUACAAAGGGCUGCGAUACCGUAAGGUGGAGCGAAUCCCAAAAAGCCGGUCUCAGUUCGGAUUGAGGUCUGCAACUCGACCUCAUGAAGUCGGAGUCGCUAGUAAUCGCAGAUCAGCAACGCUGCGGUGAAUACGUUCCCGGGCCUUGUACACACCGCCCGUCAAGUCAUGAAAGUCGGUAACACCCGAAGCCGGUGCCUAACCCUUGUGGAAGGAGCCGUCG